rnacentral:lncRNA from 1 species
UGAAUUCUAAGGUAUGAAUAUUGUUUGCCUUUGUUCUCUUCCAUAUGUAUAUGUGUGAUAGAGGAUUAUAUGUAUUGGUUGUUAUUGAAAGGUGAUGAAAAUAGGGUUAUGGACUAUUUUGCAUAGUUUGGUUGUAUUGAAUUAUGGAAGGUGGAUAUGGUAAUUGAGUUAUGGAAGGUGGAUAUGGUGAUAUACUAUUGAAUUGAUGAUUAUUUAUGUCUAUGGCUCAAUUUUGU